rnacentral:rRNA from 1 species
CCUACGGGUGGCAGCAGUGGGGAAUAUUGGGCAAUGGGCGCAAGCCUGACCCAGCAACGCCGCGUGAAGGAAGAAGGCCCUCGGGUUGUAAACUUCUUUUUAGAGGGAAGAGCAGAAGUCGGUACCUGUUGAAUAAGCCAUGGCUAACUACGUGCCAGCAGCCGCCGGAAUACGUAGGUGGCAGGCGUUGUCCGGAUUUACUGGGUUUAAAGGGUGUGCUGCCGGGAAGAUAAGUCAGAUGUGAAAUCCCGCGGCUCAACCGCGGAACUGCAUUUGAAACUGUUUUUCUUGAGUACCGGAGAGGUAGGCGGAAUUCGUGGUGUAGCGGUGAAAUGCGUAGAUAUAACGCAGAACACCGAUGGCGAAGGCAGAUGACUGGACGGCAACUGACGGUGAGGCACGAAAGCGUGGGUAUCAAACAGGAUUAGAUACCCGUGUAGUC